GACGAACGCUGGCGGCGUGCUUAACACAUGCAAGUCGAACGGACAGACAGAGAGCUUGCUCUCUUGAAGUUAGUGGCGAACGGGUGAGUAACGCGUAAUCAACCUGCCCUUCAGAGGGGGAUAACAACGGGAAACCGUUGCUAAUACCGCGUACGAUUCAUGAACGGCAUCGUUUAUGAAUGAAAGGUGGCCUCUAUGUAUAAGCUAUCGCUGAAGGAGGGGAUUGCGUCUGAUUAGCUAGUUGGGGGGGUAACGGCCCAACAAGGCAAUGAUCAGUAGCCGGUCUGAGAGGAUGAACGGCCACAUUGGGACUGAGACACGGCCCAAACUCCUACGGGAGGCAGCAGUGGGGAAUCUUCCGCAAUGGACGAAAGUCUGACGGAGCAACGCCGCGUGAGUGAUGAAGGUCUUCGGAUUGUAAAGCUCUGUUAAUCGGGACGAAAGAGUUCUGCGUGAAUAAUGCAGAAAAGUGACGGUACCGGAAUAGAAAGCCACGGCUAACUACGUGCCAGCCGCCGCAGUAA
rnacentral:rRNA from 1 species